ACUUGGGGGAAUGGAUAUAUAUAUUAGAGAUAAUAUAUAGUCCCGACUCUGUCGGAUAAAGUUCUAGAUAGAAGAAUGAUAAUGCAAUUUUCUAUCUAUAUGUCUUGACCAAAUCUUGUGCCAGCAGUCGCGGCAACACAAGGGAGACUAGUGUUAUUCAUCUUUACUAGGUUUAAAGGGUACCUAGACGGUAUAUCAUGCCCCAAAAGGGAACGGAUUUACUAGAGUUUUAUGUGAGAGGCAAAUAUAGUACUAUUGGUGUAGAGAUAAAAUUCUGUGAUACCUCUAGGACGGGUAACGGCGAAGGCAAUCCUCUAUGUAAAAACUGACGUUGAGGGACGAAGGCUCGGGUAGCGAAUAGGAUUAGAUACCCUAGUAGUCCGGGCAGACAAUUAUGAAUGUCAUAGAUUAGAAAUAUUUGAUCUAUAAAUGAAAGUGUAAGCAUUCCACCUCAAGAGUAAGGCGGCAACGUUGGAACUGAAAUCAU
rnacentral:rRNA from 1 species